UAGGGAAUCUUCCGCAAUGGGCGAAAGCCUGACGGAGCAACGCCGCGUGAGUGAUGAAGGUCUUCGGAUCGUAAAACUCUGUUAUUAGGGAAGAACAAAUGUGUAAGUAACUAUUCACGUCUUUACGGUACCUACUCAGAAAGCCACGGCUAACUACGUGCCAGCAGCCGCGGUAAUACGUAGGUGGCAAGCGUUAUCCGGAAUUAUUGGGCGUAAAGCGCGCGUAGGCGGUUUUUUAAGUCUGAUGUGAAAGCCCACGGCUCAACCGUGGAGGGUCAUUGGAAACUGGAAAACUUGAGUGCAGAAGAGGAAAGUGGAAUUCCAUGUGUAGCGGUGAAAUGCGCAGAGAUAUGGAGGAACACCAGUGGCGAAGGCGACUUUCUGGUCUGUAACUGACGCUGAUGUGCGAAAGCGUGGGGAUCAAACAGG
rnacentral:rRNA from 1 species